GUAGCUCAGUUGGUAGAGCAUGAGACUCAUAAUCCUAGGGUUGUGGGUUUGAGCCUCACAUUGAGCCA